rnacentral:rRNA from 1 species
VKAACGACUCUCGGCAACGGAUAUCUCGGCUCACGCAUCGAYCMMGAAUUUUUCAAAAUGCGAAAAAGGGGGUGAAUUGCAGAAUCCCGUGAACCAUCGAGUUUUUGAACGCAAGUUGCGCCCGAAGCCMUUCGGUUGAGGGCACAUCUGCCUGGGCGUCACG